UACAGAGGUCCCAAGCGUUGUUCGGAUUCACUGGGCGUAAAGGGUGCGUAGGUGGCUUGGUAAGUUUGAUGUGAAAUCUCCGGGCUUAACCCGGAAAUGGCAUUGAAUACUAUUGAGCUGGAGGUUUGGAGGGGGGACUGGAAUUCUCGGUGUAGCAGUGAAAUGCGUAGAUAUCGAGAGGAACACCAGUGGCGAAGGCGAAUCCCUGGACAACACCUGACACUGAGGCACGAAAGCUAGGGGAGCAAACAGG
rnacentral:rRNA from 1 species